GUGAAUCAUCAAAUCUUUGAACGCAAAUUGCACUCUCCGGUUUUCCGGGAGAGUAUGCCUGUUUGUGGGUCAGCCUAAAAAAAAUCGACAUUUUUGCUGAUUUAUGGUGACUUUCGUCGGAGAUGAGUUAUCUUAAAUCUCGGUUUAAGCGACUUAACAAUUUUUUUUACGAUUCUAAGUAUGUUUCAAAGAUUUUUCUUGUACACUUAAGGUAUCGAAUGUCUUAUUAGACGUGGCCGUCAUAUCGGAUCGCGUCCAAAAUCAUUCAU
rnacentral:misc_RNA from 1 species